UUAUUAUUAAAUCUAAUAACUCGAAGCAAAAGCCGUCAAAAUCACAAUUACAGUUCAUUUUGUGCUAGUAAUAACGAUGAUUUAUUGGGUACAUGCGUCGGUCAUCAUCUUAACACGUAAGUCAAGUUUUCUUCUACUUAACCAAAUUUUGAUACAGUAUAUAUUGCACCUCUUGUGCGUGCAAAACAUUAUUCCAAAUCCAUAAUACACAAUUAUUUACGUUUAUGUAUAUAAUAUCCAAAAGAUAUUAGUAAGCCAAAGUUUAAAUUCACUUUCUUUAAAUAAGAUUGAUAACCUAUCAAAUCAUGAUGGAUCAGAGGCGGAGCUAGGAUUUCAAGGUUCUGAAUUUUAGAACGUUGGAUUCAUGUGCUAGUGAUUGUGGGUUCUAAAUUUAAUACAUGUAUAUAUUUAAGUAAUUUUUUUAAUAGAAAUACAAUAUUUAAAGAAAAAGUACUAGUUUAUAGGACAAACCCAUAGCUGGACUUCUGCUUCUGCUCCUGUAUUGGACACUUUUUCUAUUCAAAGGAGCAUAUAUACCUAUCGAGUAGGCCAACUAAAUGGGAUAAAAUGUCCCCAUAUCAAGAGAUUUUUUAUGUUCCAAACUCGAAUUUAAGAUUUCUAGAUAAAGAUAAAGCCGUUAUCUUACCACUAAUGCAUGAUUGCAUGGUGCAAAAAUAUGUGUUUUAUUUUAUGAUACUAAGAUUUUGAGUUUUAUUUUUUAAAUAUUGCAAUACUAUUUCAUUGUUAUGAAAUAUUAAAUUAUGGUGGACCUCCAUAACUCCUAAAACACCCACUACUUUUAUCCAUUAUCUCCAUAACUCCCACUACUCCA
rnacentral:lncRNA from 1 species